AAAUCAAUCCCAGAACAACAGCAAAGGACCUUGUGAAGAUGCUGGAGGAAACAGAGUAAGCGUUGUAGUUCCCACUGAACUUUUCCUAGCAGUGACACAGCAGCAACUACCAUCCUGGCCAAGGAGAGCGCAGUCCUUAGAUCAAACCCUUUGGCUCCCUGUCUCCCAACAUAUUGAUUACAAGAUCAUCCUCCUGACCUACAAAUCUCUUCGCCACCAUCCCCCUCCUUAGCUCUCUGACCUUUUUUCUUGGCUACCAACUCCAACACUCACUCCGUUCUGCCACAGCAGGCCAGCUUGUCGCACUU